CUGCAGCUUCAGAGAGGGAAUGGCUGCUAAGAAGUGGCUCUAGAAGCAGUUCUGCUCUUACCUGUGUGACCUGCAGCCAGGAAACCCAGCUGGGAUCCCCUGGAGUUGCCCAUACUAAUGGAGCUGAGCAGCAGCAGCUGCUCCAAGAAUUGGUGUUGAGUUGGGCACCUGGAAGGACCCGGCAGAAGCUCCAGUGACACUCAUGCAUUUCCUCCUUGCCUGGUGUGGAAUUUGCUGCCACUUCUCCCACCCAUCAGCAGAUGCUGAACUGGAAAUAUUUCCCUGCAGAACAGCUCUGAAUCUGUUUGAAGGUGGGAAAAAAACCCAAUUCCAGCCAGUGAGUGUGGAGGACCAAGAGUGGAAGCAGCAGAUGGC